rnacentral:rRNA from 1 species
GACGAACGCUGGCGGCGGGCCUAACACAUGCAAGUCGAACGAGUGGCGGACGGGUGAGUAAUUUCUGGGAAACUGGCUGAUGGAGGGGGAUAACUACUGGAAACGGUAGCUAAUACCGCAUACCAUCGGAUGUGCCCAGAUGGGAUUAGCUAGUAGGGGGGGUAAAGGCUCACCUAGGCGCAGAUCCCUAGCUGGUCUGAGAGGAUGACCAGCCACACUGGAACUGAGACACGGUCCAGACUCCUACGGGAGGCAGCAGUGGGGAAUAUUGCACAAUGGGCGCAAGCCUGAUGCAGCCAUGCCGCGUGUAUGAAGAAGGCCUUCGGGUUGUAAAGUACUUUCAGCGGGGAGGCGUUACCCGCAGAAGAAGCACCGGCUAACUCCGUGCCAGCCGCCGCGGUAAUUC